GGACGCUGUUGCCUGAGGCCUCAGCCCUGCCUGGGCAUUGGUGACGCUGGGAGGCUGAGCUCACUUGUCCCCCUGCCCACACAUGCCCUGGGCUCCAGGUGCUUACUUGGAACUCUGCCUAUCUGCCUGCUGACUUUCCUGUGCUCGGACUCAUGGCCUGAGCUGCCUUGAGGGGCACAACCCAGCACCUCAGGCAUCCUCUUAGCCACAGAGUGACCAGGGCAGGUCAUGGGGUUCUGCCAGCCUCAGCAUCCUCCUGUGUCUGCCAGGGAGUCCUAGUGGUAACUGACCACACACGGUUAUGGGUUGUAAUGCACAUCAGAGGCCCAGCUCCCUCUCAGAGGUCAGCAAGAGAGAGCUGCUGUUAUGGUUCCAGUCAUGGAGGGUCUACUCUGAGCCAGGCUGCAGCCAACGGCUGGGGAUCCAGAGUCACGCAUGCAAUCUGCUUCUUCCUUCUUGGCACUUAGAGCCCAGUGCAGGGAGACAGACAUCAAUAAAAGUAUGCAGCAGGCGAAGGACACAGCCAGACACCACUUCCCCAUCACAUGACGGGGCUUGUGAAAUUGCCACACCUUCAGCCGUCUGUGCCGCAGCCACCUGCCCGGGGCCUCAGCCCUGCAUCCAAACGUGCCCAUGACUCCACUCGUCCAUCCAAGGGCACCUCAAGGUCAACAGGUUGAAAGUGGAGCUGACCUCACUCCGCAUCCUCCCUCCUUCACACUGUUCCUCGCAACUCUGGGGCAAGGCCACCACAUGCCUCCCUCAGCGCUUAGCAGAUAUUAGCUGGCUGGCUCCUGGCAUCUGCCCUACGAGGUAGCACCAUGGAUAGUCCCACUGUGCAGAUGAGAAAACCAAGGCACAGAGAAGAGAAGUGUUGCCUAAAGUCAGCUGGCUGCUGGGCGGCAGGGCUGGGGUUGAACCCAGGCUGCCCCCUACUGCAGAGCCCACCCUGGGCUGCCCCCCAUCAGGACCAGGAGGAGGCUCAGGCCCCAGGAACACAGGCUCACCCCCCACCUGGCCUUCCCACAAAGUACCGCCGACUCUGGUGAGGAGCUUCUAUCCUGCCCAUUUUACAGAUGAGAAAACCGAGGUCAAGAGCUGCUGAGUCAUUAGCCAAUUUGGCACCACUAGGCAGCGGCAGAACAAGGGCUGGACUUGCGUCUGUCUGACAUGGAGCUCAUGCAGACCUUGAGGAAGAUAGUUUCUUCAAUGAGCCUGUUCUACGUGACCAUUAAGUGGAAGGGGAAGGGGGAGAGGGGCAGGAUCCCCCGUGUUCGCUGCCCAGCCUGGGGGAGUCCCGAGAAAGCAAAUCCGCGGCUUACUGUACACUUUGGGGUUUUCCUCUGGGUGGAAAGAGCAGUUCAUUAUCUAGGUGGCCGCUGCGUUCCGCCGCCUGAAACGUCGAUAGCCGAGGUAAUUGGGGGCCUCUGUCUGGCCGCUGGGUCCCUGGGAAGAUUUUUCAGGUAGAUUUCAGCCGGGAGCGCUCACUUCUACUUUGAAUGUAAAAUGCAUGUGUGAAGCGCUUUCUCUGAAGUGGGAAUAGGUAAUUGAUUUUUUAAAGAAGGCGACCUUUCUGGGCUCUGGAAACCGCUUUCAGGCUCCUUUCUUAUUUUUCUGGGCACAAAGGCAAUUAUCCCAGGUCAGCACUCCACACAGGAAAUGGGACUCGCUAAUUUUGCACAACAAAUGUUUCAGUGUCACUCUACAAGGAUUAUUGUAUCAGCUUGUUUCACAUCAGACAGAAAACCAGGCCCUGCCUUAAACAGGGGCCUGAGGUGAGAGAUUCCAGAGGGUGGGGAAGAUCCCCACUCUGCCUCUAGCCACCGUGCGCUGCGUGAGAGGCUCUUGCCCUCUCUGUGCCUUAGUUUUCUCGUCUGGACAAUAGCCAUCAUCCCAGCAGCCACCUCUAAUAAUCCCCGCGGGUGGUAAAUGGUGAAAAUGGCCACACAUUAUCCCCUUCCUCCAUCCAUGCCCUUUGGUGGCCCCCCCUCACCUUGACUCGGGGCCCAGCUGUGCGACUUGCUCUGGUCAAUGGGACACAGGCAGAGGCUUGCAAAGCACGUGCUGUUUGGGACUUUGAGACCACCAUGUGAAUGAGCCGAGCUGGCCCACCGGAGGACGGGAGUCCACGUGAGACAGAGAUGGGCCAUCCCAGCAGAGACGGCCAGACAGCACGCGAGGCCGUGCUAGACGUUCCCGCCCCAGAUGGGCUAGUCCAGAAGAAGAGCUUCCCAGUAGACCCACAGAAUUGUGAGAAAUAAUUGCUUGUUGGAAUCCACAGAUUUUGGGGGGUGCUUUGUUCCACAGCAUCAGCUAGCUGAUCCAUCCCCUCUUCAUCUGGUUCUCCAUUAGGUUCUUUGGUACUCGCGUAAAAGGAGGAUUUAUUGGGAGAUUAUUAGGGAUCAGAGAAUUGACCUAAAGGCUAGAGAGCCAGGCUGGGGGUCAGGCAGGAAUCAAACCGGCAGCUACGUGAUUGUCGGGGCCCUGCCUGUGGGAGGAGCGACUCCACCAGUCCUCCCAACCUCGAGUCACUCUGCGCAGGAGUUAAAGUCCCAGGCGGCUGAUGAGGCCACAUGUCUGGGCUCGGUUGUGUGGUUGCAGUAAGAAGCAGGGCCAGAGGGAAAGACCCCACAGGGCAGUGAUAAAGCAGGAAGCCUCCGGGCCAGCCUACCUCAGUCCCACUCCCCUUCGGCUGCAGACGAGCAAGCUCCUCUCCAGGCCUCUGCAGACGGGCCGGGAGCCGCAUCUCUACGUCCCUGGGUAACUGCGAAGAUGAAAUGAAGCGGUGUGUGUAAGGCUGAGAACAGGACCUGGCAUUCAGGAAGCACCCAGUAAACGUUCCUUGGUAUUAUUAUUAUUAAUUGUUAUUAUUAUUAUAUUCUGUAGUGGGAGGGGAGAGCUACAGAAAUUAUCUAGAGGGAUCUGUCAUAUUGCUAAGGCUCCACGCAAUGUGGGAAAGGUGAUCUCCUUAAAGGAAAUCACGGCAUUGUUAGGAAGGGGAGGAUGGCGGCUGGCCCGACCAAAUUUGAUAAACGUCCCCACUGCGGGUGCUGUGAGCACUCAGCUUCGUCAUUCCUGUCACUGAGCCGAGUGCUGUGCAGGAGGACAGAGACACCUGCCACCAUGGACCUAGUCCCUGCCCCCGGGGCUGACCUUCUAGCUAGGGGGAGGCUGGCACUGAAUAAGUGAGUCGGUGAGUGACAGGAGGACUCCUGAGAGCACCAGGUGCCAGGACGAGUGGGAGAGAGGGACGAGGCGCUGCUCAGGCCACGUGAUGGGAUGAAGGGAGGCCCUCGUGGUACUGGCCUAGAGGGAGUGAGUUACCGUCCUAUUAGCUGCUGCUCGGCGCACGCGAGGUCCCAAUGUACUCCUCCGUGUUGUCUCUCUCCCCUCCCCCUGGAAGCCCCAGGUGGGGAUGUGGAGGCCGGGCUUCUAGGCCUUGCUGGGCUCUUUGGGAAAGCCCCUUCCCCUGGGUGAGCCUCAGUUUUCACGUUGAUGUAAUUAAGAUGCUGAAGGGUGGGCAAUCUUUCCAAAACAUCCUAGCCUUCCUUUGUUCCUUGUAAGACACAAAUAAAAUGGACGAAAAUGGAGGAGGAGUCACAGAGUCCCACUUGUGAGCUCAGCUUUUCUGUCACCUCCCCUCCGAGGCCCCUGAGACACUUCUGCAGACACCUAAGGCCCCAAGGAGUCCCACCUGCAAACACAAGUGUACAUAAACGAUGUCUUGGAAUGGACAGAUGUGGCUAGAAUACUGGCUUUGCCGCUUUCUCACUGUGUGAUCUCAGGUUAGUCACUUGACCUCUCUGAACCAUAUGCAUCAUCUCUCCAGUGGAGACGGGAAUGAGGAGAUCAAUCUGCGUUCUAGAGCCCACGCUCCACCACUGACUUGCUCUGUGUCUUGGCAACUCCCUUCCCUUUGCUGAGCCCCAAACGUGAUGACGGAUAGGGAUCUUUCAUUCUAGCCUCUCCUGGGGCUGCCUCUCAAGGGGCAUGACAACUUACGGAGUCCCCAAAGUACAGCCUGUCCCCUCCUCCCUCCCAGGCUCAAAGAAAUCUAGGAGGCCACUGGCAGCCCCCACAGCCCAGAAAUAGCAGGCCAGCUGGUGGGCGGCUGACCCUGAGGCCCAGGGCCUGAGCUGAGGCCUGUUGCCUGGCAACAGGCAGCAUCCCACACUGUGGGUGGCCAAGGGUUCCGGUGGUGGCCCACGUCACCAGCCCAGCCGAGAUCUGCCUGGGCGCUGCGAGGGCAGGUGGAGAGUCCUUGGAGGCCUGGGAGCAAAGCUCCGUCUGCAGGGGAUUUUCAUGUGGUUGUCCCCGCCCCCAGCCUCCAGCAUCUCCUAGACGUGCCCAGGUUCUUCUGGGUCGUUAUUACUAUCUUUAAUCCUCACGAGAACUCAGCACACAGCCAUCAUCAUUCCCCCUCUGCACAGGUAAGGAAACUGAGACUUGGCCCGGCCAAGGGUCUUGCCAGAGUCAGGUGGUAGGUCAGCAGACAGCCCCUCAACUGUGGCCUGAAGAGAGGAAGGUGCGGAGGGGCCUGAGGACUUGGUGGGUUUCGGGGCAGGUUUUGGGGGAGAGGUAGAAGUGGGGAGGUAAAGAGAGAAUCGUCUGUGGGCCUCAUGCUUCCCAAGUCCUGGUGAUAUAAGGUCCAGGGAGCAACCGCGGCGGAGGCGGCCGUCCCCGGAAGAGAAGUGGUCAACGUCCUGAGCUGCGCGGGGUGGGACGGGCCUGCACCGCAUCUGGGCCACGCCUGCAGGAGGCAGUCCCUUCAGUGGACACACUCAGGAUCUUGGACCUGAAGCAUUGAGCCUCUGGGUCCAUUUCUACGGAAUCCGCAGCCUACUGAUCCAUUUCUUCAGACCCCACCUCAUCCUUCCUUGGCCAAUCCAGCUUGGCUCUUUAGGGAGUGCUUCGGGGUCUGGGACAAAGACCCCUGGCCUAUGCAUUGCACAAACCUCAGGCUCCAGCUUCCAUGUGUCUGCUCGCUGUCUGUGCGACCCUUCACAAGGGAGUUGGCACUUCUGUGUGUUACGAGGAUUUCUCCUGAGGACACUUCAUAAUGGGUAUCCUUAUUUUUAUUCCACAGUUGAAGACAAAGACUCAGAGAGGUUCAGCAACUGUGCCAAGCCCACACAGCUGCUCCACAUCACGCCCGGGAUCGGCUACCGUCAGCUCUUGUCUGGACCAUUGCCGCAGCCUCACUGUCUCCCUGCUCAACUCCAAGUCAUUCUCUGCUCAGCAGAGGAGAGUUCCUAAAACUGCAAACCGAACAGCACAUCACGCCCUGUUUAGAGUCGGAGGACUUCCUAUCCUUGGACUCAAACUCACUCUCAAACUCCUGCCCGCGUCCCCGCAAGCCCCUUGCCCACUUCACUCCCUCUGCAGGAACGAGGAAAUGACCUCCCACAUCUUUGAGUGGUGGGUUCCUUCCUCGUCCUUCUGGCCUCAGCCCCAGCGCCACCUCCUUGGAGAGAUGCUCUCUGACUACCUGGUCUGAAUAAGUCUUGACCCCAGCCUGAGGUCGUCUUGAUCACCCUGUGACAUCACUGUAUUUGUUGGCUGGCUUUUUUCUUUGUCUCCCCUCUCCUCAGCCCUGGUUCAUGAAAGCAGGGACCACAUCCGUCUGGCUCUGUGUCCUAAGAAUCGAGAGCAGGGCUUGGCACAGAGUGGCCACUUAACGAACGCUUGUGAAUAAGUGAGAGGGUCGAAUGAAUAAGUGCACCCAUAGACUCUCACUCCGGACACUCCAGCACAUGCUCAGACCCUCUCCCACACUUGCAAACACUCACACUCAUCCACACCUGGCUCACACCUUCAGACACUCCCAGACGCAUCCUGCCAAGAAUCUCUGCCAUGCUCAGGAGCCUGUAACCAGUGACGCUGCCGCCCCCUCCUGGAAAGAUUGGGGAAGUGCAGCCAGGGUCUGGCCCCGGGAAGUCAAACCAAGCGCGGGAGAGAAGCGGGAAAUGCAUGACUCAGUCUCAGAAUCCGGCAGUGAGCAAACAGAGGUGCCAUUGGCCUUCAUGGAGCAUGGUCUGGGGUAGCAUGUACAGCAGUGGAGGUUCGGACACAGAGGGGGCGUCACUCCUCUCCUAGGCAUGCCAAUAGCAUCCAGAUUGGUCCUAAACUUAAGGAAGACUGAGCCAAGGCCAGCAGAACUUUUUCCAUCUAUAAACGUGACAUCAGAAACGGAGAGAUGACGGCUUCCCUAAGUCAGCGCGUCACUGCGUUUAAUUUGAUGAUGUUGUUUAGAAACUCUAUGUACUGUUUUCUGGGCCAAAACGUAUCAACCAUUGAUGAGGAGAAAAUCAAAAGACAAACGACCAAUUCUCAGUAAAGGG
rnacentral:lncRNA from 1 species